GGUCCCGUGGUGUAGUGGUUAACAUGCCUGCCUGUCACGCAGGAGAUCGCCGGUUCGACCCCGGUCGGCCACCA
rnacentral:tRNA from 1 species